rnacentral:rRNA from 1 species
CCUACGGGCGGCAGCAGUGGGGAAUAUUGGACAAUGGGGGCAACCCUGAUCCAGCCAUGCCGCGUGUGUGAAGAAGGCCCUCGGGUUGUAAAGCACUUUCAGUGAGGAAGAACGCCUGGUGGUUAAUACCCAUCAGGAAAGACAUCACUCACAGAAGAAGCACCGGCUAACUCCGUGCCAGCAGCCGCGGUAAUACGGAGGGUGCGAGCGUUAAUCGGAAUUACUGGGCGUAAAGCGCGCGUAGGUGGCUUGAUAAGCCGGUUGUGAAAGCCCCGGGCUCAACCUGGGAACGGCAUCCGGAACUGUCAAGCUAGAGUGCAGGAGAGGAAGGUAGAAUUCCCGGUGUAGCGGUGAAAUGCGUAGAGAUCGGGAGGAAUACCAGUGGCGAAGGCGGCCUUCUGGACUGACGCUGACACUGAGGUGCGAAAGCGUGGGUAGCAAACAGGAUUAGAUACCCCUGUAGUC